rnacentral:rRNA from 1 species
CAGUAGCCACGGUAAAACGGAGGAUCCAAGCGUUAUCCGGAAUCAUUGGGUUUAAAGGGUCCGUAGGCGGUCUUGUAAGUCAGUGGUGAAAGCCCAUCGCUCAACGGUGGAACGGCCAUUGAUACUGCAGGACUUGAAUUAUUGGGAAGUAACUAGAAUAUGUAGUGUAGCGGUGAAAUGCUUAGAGAUUACAUGGAAUACCAAUUGCGAAGGCAGGUUACUACCAAUUGAUUGACGCUGAUGGACGAAAGCGUGGGUAGCGAACAGGAUUAGAUACCCCAGUAGUCCCUGUCUCUUAUAU